rfam:Populus trichocarpa isolate Nisqually-1 chromosome 18, whole genome shotgun sequence.
CCAAAUAUUAUUAGGUCUAGUUUGGCAACUAGACUCAAUGCUAUUAGGUCUAGUUUUUCUGCUAGACCCAAUGUUAUUGGGUC